GUUGCCGAUCAACAAACCAGUUCUGCUCCAAGCCAAGUUAAUGGUACUGCAACUACAGGCUGGGAAUUGGCACUCGUUACAGCACCAAGCUCAAACGAAAGUGUAGCUGCUACUAGCAAAUUGGCCGGAGGGUUGGACUUGCUUACUUUAGACAGCUUAUAUGAUGAUGCAAUCAGAAGAAACAAUCAGAACGUGAGUUACAAUCCAUGGGAGCCAGUUCCAGUGCAUGGUUCCAUGAUGCAACAACAGCCAAUCCAUGAUCCCUUUUUUGCCUCGACUGCGGUAGCUGCACCUCAUUCAGUACAAAUGGCAGCUAUGGCCAACCAGCAGCAAGCUUACAUGUUGCAGCAGCAGCAGAUGAUGAUGAUGGCCCCCCAACCACAACAGU
rnacentral:misc_RNA from 1 species